UACGUAGGGUGCGAGCGUUAUUCGGAAUCACUGGGCGUAAAGGGCGCGUAGGCGGCCUGGUAAGUCAGGGGUGAAAUCCCACGGCUCAACCGUGGAAUUGCCUUUGAAACUGCUGGGCUUGGAUCCUGGAGAGGGUGGCGGAAUUCCUGGUGUAGGAGUGAAAUCCGUAGAUAUCGGGAGGAACACCAGUAGCGAAGGCGGCCAUCUGGCUGGUAACUGACGCUGAGGUGCGAGAGCGUGGGGAGCAAACAGG
rnacentral:rRNA from 1 species